UACGUAGGAGGCAAGCGUUAUCCGGAAUUACUGGGCGUAAAGGGCGUCUAGGUGGGGUGCCAAGCGGGGUGUGAAAGCGCCUGGCUUAACUGGGCGAGUGCGCUCCGAACUGGCAACCUAGAGGGCAGGCGACGGAGGUGGAAUACCCGGUGGAGUGGUGAAAUGCGUAGAGAUCGGGUGGAACACCAGUGGCGAAGGCGGCCUUCGAGCCUGUGCCUGACACUGAAGCGCGAGAGCGUGGGGAGCAAACGGGAUUAGAAACCCCCGUAGUCC
rnacentral:rRNA from 1 species